rnacentral:rRNA from 1 species
CCGUAGGUGAACCUGCGGAGGGAUCAUUACCGAGUGAGGGUUCCGGCCCGACCUCCGACCCCCAAACCUUCAACCCCUUAUGCCUGGGGGGUGACCCGGCCGCGCGCCGGGGCCCCCGCGGGACCUUCCCAACACUGUCUUGCUGAGCGUCUGAGCGUAAAGCGAAAUCAAACAAAACUUUCAACAACGGAUCUCUUGGUUCUGGCAUCGAUGAAGAACGCAGCGAAAUGCGAUAAGUAAUGUGAAUUGCAGAAUUCAGUGAAUCAUCGAAUCUUUGAACGCACAUUGCGCCCCUUGGUAUUCCGGGGGGCAUGCCUGUUCGAGCGUCAUUACACCACUCCAGCCCGGCUGGGUAUUGGGCGCCGCGGCGAUGCCGCCGCGCGCCUCAAACGCCGUCCGGCCCGGCCGUCCGUCCCCGAGCGUUGCGAGACUUUGUUCAGUCGCUCGAUGGGUGUGGACGGCGGCGUGCCGUUAAACCUUUCUCUCAGGUUGACCUCGGAUCAGGUAGGGAUACCCGCUGAACUUAAGCAUAUCAAUAAGCGGAGGA